CACGUAGGCACCAAGCGUUAUCCGGAUUUAUUGGGCGUAAAGAGCUCGUAGGCGGUUCGGUAAGUCGGGUGUGAAAACUCUGGGCUCAACCCAGAGAGGCCACCCGAUACUGCUGUGACUAGAGUGCGGUAGGGGAGCGGGGAAUUCCUGGUGUAGCGGUGAAAUGCGCAGAUAUCAGGAGGAACACCAGCGGCGAAGGCGCCGCUCUGGGCCGUAACUGACGCUGAGACGCGAAAGCGUGGGGAGCAAACAGG
rnacentral:rRNA from 1 species